rnacentral:rRNA from 1 species
AACGAACGCUGGCGGCAGGCCUAACACAUGCAAGUCGAACGCUCCGCAAGGGAGUGGCGCACGGGUGAGUAACACGUGGGAACCUACCUUCUGGUACGGAACAACCAAGGGAAACUUUGGCUAAGACCGUAUACGACCUCCGGGUGAAAGAUUGAUCGCCGGAAGAGGGGCCCGCGUCCGAUUAGGUAGUUGGUGAGGUAACGGCUCACCAAGCCUUCGAUCGGUAGCUGGUCUGAGAGGAUGACCAGCCACACUGGGACUGAGACACGGCCCACGACUCCUACGGGAGGCAGCAGUGGGGAA